rnacentral:rRNA from 1 species
AACGAACGCUGGCGGCAUGCCUAACACAUGCAAGUCGAACGAGACCUUCGGGUCUAGUGGCGCACGGGUGCGUAACGCGUGGGAAUCUACCCUUGGGUUCGGAAUAACAGUUAGAAAUGACUGCUAAUACCGGAUGAUGACUUCGGUCCAAAGAUUUAUCGCCCAAGGAUGAGCCCGCGUCGGAUUAGCUUGUUGGUGAGGUAAAAGCUCACCAAGGCGACGAUCCGUAGCUGGUCUGAGAGGAUGAUCAGCCACACUGGGACUGAGACACGGCCCAGACUCCUACGGGAGGCAGCAGUGGGGAAUAUUGGACAAUGGGCGAAAGCCUGAUCCAGCAAUGUCGCGUGAGUGAUGAAGGCCUUAGGGUUGUAAAGCUCUUUUACCCGGGAUGAUAAUGACAGUACCGGGAGAAUAAGCCCCGGCUAACUCCGUGCCAGCCGCCGCCGUAA